CAAGUGUCCCAGGGUGAGGGGCAGGCGGGCCUUUCAAGCCGCGCCUCGGGCAGAUUAGUACCCGGUCAGGUGGCAGGGCAGGCUGACCUUGCGGGUCAUGCCUUGGCGGGCAGGGGUGCAUCCCCCAGGCCACGACGCUACAGAAGGCGCAGGUCAUGUGGCAGAUUCCGCAGGAGGGGGUCCCCUAGCGGGUCAAGGAGUGCCUGCUCCUCCCCAGUUCAGAGCAUCAGCA